GACGAACGCUGGCGGCGUGCUUAACACAUACAAGUCGAACGAUGAAGGAGAGCUUGCUCUCCGGAUUAGUGGCGAACGGGUGAGUAACACGUGACUAACCUGCCCCUUUCUCUGGGAUAACGCUCCGAAAGGAGUGCUAAUACCGGAUACGAACUCUGAACACAUGUUCGGAGUUGGAAAGUUUUUCGGAAAGGGAUGGAGUCGCGGCCUAUCAGCUUGUUGGUGAGGUAACGGCUCACCAAGGCGACGACGGGUAGCCGGCCUGAGAGGGCGACCGGCCACACUGGGACUGAGACACGGCCCAGACUCCUACGGGAGGCAGCAGUGGGGAAUAUUGCACAAUGGGCGAAAGCCUGAUGCAGCGACGCCGCGUGAGGGAUGAAGGUCUUCGGAUUGUAAACCUCUUUCAGUAGGGACGAAGCGAAAGUGACGGUACCUAAAGAAGAAGCACCGGCUAACUACGUGCCAGCAGCCGCGGUAA
rnacentral:rRNA from 1 species